UACGGAGGAUGCGAGCGUUAUCCGGAUUUAUUGGGUUUAAAGGGUGCGCAGGCGGCACGGCAAGCCGGCGGUCAAAUCGCGGGGCUCAACCCCGCCCAGCCGUCGGAACUGCUGGGCUAGAGUGGGCGAGAAGUGCGCGGAAUGCGUGGUGUAGCGGUGAAAUGCAUAGAUAUCACGCAGAACUCCGAUUGCGAAGGCAGCGCACCGGCGCCCUACUGACGCUCAGGCACGAAAGCGUGGGUAUCGAACAGG
rnacentral:rRNA from 1 species